rnacentral:rRNA from 1 species
AUACGGAGGGUCCGAGCGUUAUCCGGAAUCAUUGGGUUUAAAGGGUCCGUAGGCGGGAAUCUAAGUCAGUGGUGAAAUCUUGCAGCUCAACUGUAAAAUUGCCAUUGAUACUGGAUUUCUUGAAUUAGUGUGAAGUGGUUAGAAUGUGUAGUGUAGCGGUGAAAUGCAUAGAUAUUACACAGAAUACCAAUUGCGAAGGCAGAUCACUAACACUAUAUUGACGCUAAGGGACGAAAGCGUGGGGAGCGAACAGGAUUAGAAACCCCGGUAGUCC